AUGCGAACAACUUGGGUUAAUAAGGUUAAUAGGAGAUUCACCUGCCUCUUGUUAUUUACAGUGAGUACCCAGAUCUCUGUCCCGACAGAAGUCCAGUCUUUCAGAGAGGGGGACUUUAGCCCAGGAGUCAUCCGGCUGUGCCUGAGGGCUCCUGGGUCCUCCGGCGUCUCACCACAGCACUUACUCAGGCUCUGCUGCUGCCCACGGGACAAACGGGGUCCUCAGCAUGUCCACGGCAAUCUGAGGAAGGCAAAGAAGGAAACAAAGAAGCUGGCCACCCUACGGGGAUCCCAUAGGUGGUUCCCAGUGUCCCUGCCACCUGGCUGCUCACAGAAAAGGAACAGAUUCUAGAACAUCACUUCCCAAGGUGAAGUAUAUCCAUUUCAAUCUCUAAAUGAGGAAACUGCUGGUGCAGAAAAUCACUAAACAAAAAAGCAUACCCUUCAAAUGCCCUCAUGAAAGGACAUAUUCCCUGGCAGUGGAAUGAAGAAGCAAGCAACCAUUACAAAAGGGCACCAACACAAAGGAAAUGUGCGCACUCCAAAGUUCUGCGCCAGUCUCCCAGAUUGGUCAGCCAUUGGGUGCAGUGCUGUGCCAACAGCAAGGCUCUGGCAGAGGAAGAGAGAUCCCAGGAUGCAUUGCAGGGUCUCCGGAGUGGCACCAAGAAGAGAUUUCACAGUCCACAGCCAUGACCUCUGAGUUUCAAAACGCUAUGCUUAACCCAGGCCAAAGAUACCUUAGCUCCUUCACAAACUCAUCCCAGUCUACCCUACCCCAGCAUGUGCUCUCAGGUAAAGCUUUGCAAAGUACAAAUUCCAGUUUUCCAGGAUGCUAUGUCAUAAUGGCAAAAAUAUUGUAACUUGAUGUAAAAUGUGUUGUCAAUUCCUAAAUCUGCCUCUUACUAUUUUAUAAACCCGACCCAAUUCCAUAAACGAUGUCUACACAUUGGUUUUCUUGUAAGAAUUUAAUGGGAUCUGAUAUAUUAAAGGUCAUUGUUAAAUUGGUAAUAUUAUCUAAGUCUUUGCUGGCAUCAUUUACUACUUCUGUUUUAUAAGUCUUCUCCAGCUUAAAUUGACCUUUCGGGUUAGAAAGGAACCAGUUACCAAGGGCUGUGCAGAUUCAAACACUCUGAACCCCAAUCUCUAGUCCUAGUGCAGUGCUUCAUCAGAAAAUGGUUUUCACCAACCUAAAUGACAGAGAUCUCCAACUGCAGGGGCUGUGUUAGGUGACGAUGUGAUAGGGGUAAGACCUGUUCAUAAGAGCGGAGAUGUUCCUUUCAGCAUGGCUUCCAAGAUCAUGAUUGCAUCUUGCACUGGCUCUAC
rnacentral:lncRNA from 1 species